GAUGAACGCUGGCGGCGUGCCUAAUACAUGCAAGUCGAGCGAACGGACGAGAAGCUUGCUUCUCUGAUGUUAGCGGCGGACGGGUGAGUAACACGUGGAUAACCUACCUAUAAGACUGGGAUAACUUCGGGAAACCGGAGCUAAUACCGGAUAAUAUUUUGAACCGCAUGGUUCAAAAGUGAAAGACGGUCUUGCUGUCACUUAUAGGUGGAUCCGCGCUGCAUUAGCUAGUUGGUAAGGUAACGGCUUACCAAGGCAACGAUGCAUAGCCGACCUGAGAGGGUGAUCGGCCACACUGGAACUGAGACACGGUCCAGACUCCUACGGGAGGCAGCAGUAGGGAAUCUUCCGCAAUGGGCGAAAGCCUGACGGAGCAACGCCGCGUGAGUGAUGACGGUCUUCGGAUCGUAAAACUCUGUUAUUAGGGAAGAACAUAUGUGUAAGUAACUGUGCACAUCUUGACGGUACCUAAUCAGAAAGCCACGGCUAACUACGUG
rnacentral:rRNA from 1 species